UCCCGUGCGAGGUUAAGCUGAAGAGGCGGAGCCGCAGCGAAAGCGAGUCUGAAUAGGGCGUUUAGUACGUGGUCGUAGACCCGAAACCAGGUGAUCUACCCAUGUCCAGGGUGAAGUUCAGGUAACACUGAAUGGAGGCCCGAACCCACGCACGUUGAAAAGUGCGGGGAUGAGGUGUGGGUAGCGGAGAAAUUCCAAUCGAACCUGGAGAUAGCUGGUUCUCCCCGAAAUAGCUUUAGGGCUAGCCUUAAGUGUAAGAGUCUUGGAGGUAGAGCACUGAUUGGACUAGGGGUCCUCAUCGGAUUACCGAAUUCAGUCAAACUCCGAAUGCCAAUGACUUAUCCUUAGGAGUCAGACUGCGAGUGAUAAGAUCCGUAGUCAAAAGGGAAACAGCCCAGACCGCCAGCUAAGGUCCCAAAGUGUGUAUUAAGUGGAAAAGGAUGUGGAGUUGCUUAGACAACUAGGAUGUUGGCUUAGAAGCAGCCACCAUUUAAAGAGUGCGUAAUAGCUCACUAGUCGAGUGACUCUGCGCCGAAAAUGUACCGGGGCUAAAUACACCACCGAAGCUGCGGAUUGAUACCAAUGGUAUCAGUGGUAGGGGAGCGUUCUAAGGACAGUGAAGUCAGACCGGAAGGACUGGUGGAGUGCUUAGAAGUGAGAAUGCCGGUAUGAGUAGCGAAAGACGGGUGAGAAUCCCGUCCACCGAAUGCCUAAGGUUUCCUGAGGAAGGCUCGUCCGCUCAGGGUUAGUCAGGACCUAAGCCGAGGCCGACAGGCGUAGGCGAUGGACAACAGGUUGAUAUUCCUGUACCACCUCUUUAUCGUUUGAGCAAUGGAGGGACGCAGAAGGAUAGAAGAAGCGUGCGAUUGGUUGUGCACGUCCAAGCAGUUAGGCUGAUAAGUAGGCAAAUCCGCUUAUCGUGAAGGCUGAGCUGUGAUGGGGAAGCUCCUUAUGGAGCGAAGUCUUUGAUUCCCCGCUGCCAAGAAAAGCUUCUAGCGAGAUAAAAGGUGCCUGUACCGCAAACCGACACAGGUAGGCGAGGAGAGAAUCCUAAGGUGUGCGAGAGAACUCUGGUUAAGGAACUCGGCAAAAUGACCCCGUAACUUCGGGAGAAGGGGUGCUUUCUUAACGGAAAGCCGCAGUGAAUAGGCCCAAGCGACUGUUUAGCAAAAACACAGCUCUCUGCGAAGCCGUAAGGCGAAGUAUAGGGGGUGACACCUGCCCGGUGCUGGAAGGUUAAGGAGAGGGGUUAGCGUAAGCGAAGCUCUGAACUGAAGCCCCAGUAAACGGCGGCCGUAACUAUAACGGUCCUAAGGUAGCGAAAUUCCUUGUCGGGUAAGUUCCGACCCGCACGAAAGGUGUAACGAUUUGGGCACUGUCUCAACCAGAGACUCGGUGAAAUUAUAGUACCUGUGAAGAUGCAGGUUACCCGCGACAGGACGGAAAGACCCCGUGGAGCUUUACUGUAGCCUGAUAUUGAAUUUUGGUACAGUUUGUACAGGAUAGGCGGGAGCCUUUGAAACCGGAGCGCUAGCUUCGGUGGAGGCGCUGGUGGGAUACCGCCCUGACUGUAUUGAAAUUCUAACCUACGGGUCUUAUCGACCCGGGAGACAGUGUCAGGUGGGCAGUUUGACUGGGGCGGUCGCCUCCUAAAGUGUAACGGAGGCGCCCAAAGGUUCCCUCAGAAUGGUUGGAAAUCAUUCGUAGAGUGCAAAGGCAUAAGGGAGCUUGACUGCGAGACCUACAAGUCGAGCAGGGACGAAAGUCGGGCUUAGUGAUCCGGUGGUUCCGCAUGGAAGGGCCAUCGCUCAACGGAUAAAAGCUACCCCGGGGAUAACAGGCUUAUCUCCCCCAAGAGUCCACAUCGACGGGGAGGUUUGGCACCUCGAUGUCGGCUCAUCGCAUCCUGGGGCUGUAGUCGGUCCCAAGGGUUGGGCUGUUCGCCCAUUAAAGCGGUACGCGAGCUGGGUUCAGAACGUCGUGAGACAGUUCGGUCCCUAUCCGUCGUGGGCGUAGGAAAUUUGAGAGGAGCUGUCCUUAGUACGAGAGGACCGGGAUGGACGCACCGCUGGUGUACCAGUUGUUCUGCCAAGGGCAUAGCUGGGUAGCUAUGUGCGGAAGGGAUAAGUGCUGAAAGCAUCUAAGCAUGAAGCCCCCCUCAAGAUGAGAUUUCCCAUAGCGUAAGCUAGUAAGAUCCCUGAAAGAUGAUCAGGUUGAUAGGUUCGAGGUGGAAGCAUGGUGACAUGUGGAGCUGACGAAUACUAAUAGAUCGAGGACUUAACCAUAUAA
rnacentral:rRNA from 1 species